UUCUGGACUAAUCGACCACCUCCUUUCCUUUCAUUUCCUUUCCUAGAGUUGCAAAUUCUCUUCAACACGCGCACAUGUGACAUGCCCCAUGGUCGCCGCCGCUCCAGGCAUCCUCCCGUGGCCUCACCUCCCUCUCCCUUCCUCCUCCCACCCGUCUGACGCCUCUGACGCCGCCGCAGCAGCAACAGACGCCAACACCUCCGCGUAUGACAUCCAGAUCUUCGAGCCCACCUCCAUCGAGGAGCGUCGUCGCCUCCUGAUCCAGCGGCGUCGCCUCCGACUCGCCGCCUCCCAUGCCUCGCGGCUCACCGUUGCCUCGCGCGUCUCCUCCAAACUCAUCAGCGCCACCGCCUCCUGCUCCAGCGGCGUCGCAUCCGAUCUGCCGCCUCCCCUCCUCAUGGCUCGUCGUUGCCUCCCGCCUCUUCCCCAACCUCGCCCUUGCCGCCCUUGGAGGAUCCCAAAUCCGACGACGAGCUCAGUAGGCCCACGCAGACGCGGAUGUGCUAUGAACUUCAGGUUCGUCUUUUUUCCUGUACACCAAUUAUAGUCCUCCAGCGCCUACGAAUUUUUUUUGCAAACUUUAUACAAGUCCUUCGCUCAACACCGCCUUUGGUUGCAACGGAAGCUGCUACUGUUGUUGAACGUUAGUUGCUUUUAUUAGAUUUAUGCAUUUUUUUUAAAUUCGAGUUCAAAAUUAAGCAAAACACACGCUUAAUCAAUUUUUUUGCGUUGUUUUCAACUGAUAUAUAGACAACAUAUUCCUAUCAAGUGGUUGUUUGCAAGAUUGACGAGUUGUAGGCACCAAAUAUAUCGAGUCCUUGCUAUCAACAUAUGAGCAUAUUAUUGUCAAAGUAGGCAACAUCUCAUUUAACAGACAACUCUCCGCUCUAUCAUUCUCUCAAGGCUGAUGUGCAUUUCUGAUAUAUUGAGCUCAAGCGUCAGAUUCUGUAUCGAUGGCAAUGGGUUCCAGAACAGUACACAAGGCAAUUUCAAGACGGUUAUUCAAUUGCUCAAAUAGUUCAGUAAGUGAGAACAAAGAAACUUCCUAAAUGUAUUAAUAUGGUAUGAUGAAUAGUGUCUCACACAUUGUGUUGUUGAGCUCUGGUCUCCAUUUCCGUGCUGCUAGAAUGUGAUUUGAAGUAUUCACCUUUUGACAUGGAUAAACAUCUUCUCUCUGUUGCAUUUGCAGGCGAAAGAAGGCUCAUGUGCUGCUUCGAAAAUCAGUUCUAAGAAGGCAACCAGGGACAACAAACCUGAUAAGGGAAGAAACAUGUUCUGGAUAAAUAUUGGCCUUUGUUUCAAGACUCCAAGCCCGCCACCAUCCAGGGAUCAAUCCUCACCACGAGGACCAGGGGUGAUGCCAACAAGGUGUACGUGAACCUUUCCUGGGGUGUUGAUAAUUUAGCUCUCGCAAACCUGUUCACUGAGCAAGGACCAUCUAUGACAGUGAGAACAAGUCAAGAGGGUUUGAUUUUUGUCAUGUAUGGUUCCACAGAAGAGCCUGAGAAUGCAUUAUCGAAUCUCAAUGGAGCUAUGAGUUCUGAAACCCUUUUUUCUUCCCCUUGCUGCUCGCGGCAUAGCAUUUGGAAAUUGAAGUACAAUUUGUCUUUCACGAUAUACUGAAUUGAUUUAUCAUUGUCCUGCAGGACUUGGAUGAUAGAUCCGUGUUACGAUACCAGCAUCAAAGCCGCCUAGAAGCAAUACUGAACUUUCACUUGAGAUGUGAGUAGUUGUAGUAGUAGCCCAAACUCUGGAAUAUAGUAUCAUCAUUCCUAGAUAUGUAGUUGUAAAUUCUCUGCCCAGAGGUUUGAGCUAUCACUCAGAUUAUGGGUUCAAUGUCAUGUAUAGAGUCAAGAAAAAACAUCUUCUGUGCGUCUUCGAGUCUUUCAAAGGCAAAACAAAUUACACGCGCGCUGACGCGCACCAAUUUACUAGUAUAUAUUCAGGUACAAAGUUUGUUCCGAUUUCUGUGAAUUGUUCAUGCAGAACUGGGUUUUGGUGGUCAUCACGAAAGUUGUAGCAAGUUUUCUGCAGAUUUCCAUAAUACACAUGUUUGCCUCAUUUGGGGCCAGUGAAUCAUUCUGGAUAAACGACUGCAGGUCCAGAGAUCAGUCCGAUAAUCUAGGAAAAUGAAUCUCACUAUAAUUCAUUCGAUAUUUGAUGUGCCUAUCACAUCGAGUAUUUGAAUAAUACCUACGAAUACUAAAUAUGGCUUAAUUAUAAAACUAACUACACAGAUGGAUACGUAUACUUAAAAGACGCAACGAAUUUAUUAAACCUAAUUAAGUCUGUAUUUAAUACUUAUAACUGAUAUUCGAUAUUUGAUGUGACACUGACUAAACUUUAGUCAAAGAAACCAAACACUACCCAAGCUUUUAUUCAAACAAAUGUUUGGUUCCAAAAAAAGAAAGAUGAAUUUGUUACUACCAAAGGAAUAUUUCUCUUGAUUAGGGAGAUGCUCUUAUCUUGAUACCCUAUAUAUAGAUUAAAUCAUGAUCGUAAUCAAAUUAUGGUAUGUCAUAUGGGUAAUCAUAGAACGUAGAUGUGCAUAGCAUGUUGAGAUGAUUUCGAUCAACGUUUGGAUUCCGGAUAUGUUUUCAUAUGACCGAACGAUCUUAGGCGUCCGAUAGGAGAGAUUCUCAUCAGGUAAUGUUUCUUGUUCCUUUCUUUCUAACUUAUGUCAUGUAAUGUUGUUCUAUAACAAAUCUAGAUAUAAAACUAGGAAACGCUUCAUCCUGCUACCCAAUUCCAAUUAUCGACACUUAGAAAGCACUAUGGUAGCGUUAAUCAAGUUACAUGUGAAGGCAGGCUAUGGUUUCUUCAAAACUUAAAUCGGUAUGCACUUUUUAGAACUGGCAUCUUCGGUCGAUAGUAUUUGAUCAAAUCCAAUCUAUGCUUUAUCGUCGUGGCGGUGGCGACGCUGACCACCGACACUAUCCAGUGACACGAUGUCGGUGAGGUGCAGUUUCAUAGCAACAUGAGCAAAUAAACAUGAUGUGUGUCAUGUCGUUUUUCCUCAAUUCCCUCCACUGUUGUGCUGCCAUUCUUACUAAUGGAUGGGGGUUCCCCUUUUUUGUUGUUUGGAAACAGUGAUCAUCUUGUUAUGGUGAUGCAUAAGAGGAAACACAUUCAUAGAAGCCUUACCUGAUAUAGGAUGAUGCUUCUUCAACUGUGUAUUAUGAUGGUUUGCAUAGCUCUACUCGAUCAUAUAUUUUUCAUCAAUUGCUUGAUGUUUAUGCAGAUCAGGAAAAUUAGUGAGUAUGGUUUUAUGAGAAUACACUUCUGAGACAUCUUGUUUUUGUUGUUUUAUAGGUUAAGGUUGGAUACUUAUUACGAAAAUAUCCGGUCCUUGCUAUCAACAUAUGAGGACACUAUUUUCAAAGGUCGUAGCAACAGGGUUCAAAGACGUGUGUUUGAUAGGGCAAUUCGUGAUAAUGAGCAUGAAGAGAGGUGGGGAGUUCCAUUGUUGGUUUAAGCUGGAGCCAGCUUCUAAAGUCUGGUCAGGUGUCCGUAUGUGUUACCCUUUCUUAUUUCAUUUCAUGAGAAGGGAUUGUUUUCCGUUCUUUGAAUUGUAUUGAAUUGUACUUGGUGGUACUCAUGAAUAAAUGUU